rnacentral:tRNA from 1 species
AAAGAUUUAGUUUAUCCCCAAAAUAUUAAGUUGUCAACUUAAAGAUUAUUUUCUUUA